rnacentral:lncRNA from 1 species
GUAAAAAAUGACAGUCACAAUGCUCCCCUCUGCCCCACUCUGAGAUCCCUGCAUGGCAUAUUAGCAUCCAGGGGUGGUACCUGCGGUGUAAGAGAUGGGGGUGGGGGGGGCAAAAGCUAUUUGUUUGAAUUUAAGCUUUCGUUCAACCAUCCCACAGUGAGAGGCAUCUAUGCUGUGUGAAAGGAGGACCUGACUUGCUACAAACCCAGACCAGGUACUGCGGCACUGCUAUCAUCCACAGUACUGAUUCCAACAGAUCUCUGGAUUCCCCAACGAGCCCCCCACCAUUCAAAAUCAGCCAGUCGCAUUUCCCUAUAAGUAGGCCUGAAGAGUUGUCAGAAGCUGUGGAGGAGUCGGACCCACCAACAGCAGAAUCAAAAGACAAAUCUCUUGGGAAACCUGUGGAACAACCUGCAGUGGAGGAAUCUGUAGAUGCACCUGCUGACCAACCAGAGGCAGCAGAGCCCUCUGAGACAACGACUGAGGAACCUGCAUCUGUGGAAGAAGCUGAUGGAGAACUCAUCGCAAAACUCACUGCAGAACCCACCGUGGGACCCACAGUGGAACCAGCAAGUGAAAUUCAAUCAGAAGAGGCUGCUGUAGAAUCAGUCUUAGAACCUGUAGUGAAACCUGUUGACAGUGUUUCUGAAGAACCUGCAGUUAGGCCAGCGGCUGUGGAGGCAAUUGAACUUGUAGUUGAGCCUGUGGCUGCAGUUAAACCUGUAGUUGAGCCUGUGGCUGCAGUUAAACCUGUAGUUGAGCCUGUGGCUGCAGUUAAACCUGUAGUUGAGCCUGUGGCUGCAGUUAAGCCUGUAGUUGAGCCUGUGGCCGCAGUUAAACCUGUAGUUGAGCCUGUGGCUGCAGUUAAACCUGUAAGUGUGAGCGCUGAUGGCUGCAGUAAACCUGUAGU